rnacentral:lncRNA from 1 species
GUUAUGUUCUGGUUCACCUAAGUGAUAAAUGGCCCCUUUGUUCUACAUUUAGUAUUAGAAAGAAGAAGAAGAACAAGAAGAAAGAAUCAGAUCUAGAUUAAGCAGGGACAGAGACCCAUUUCAUUGCACAGUACUUUAAUAUUCCUGAGAUCCCUGGCAUGACAGGGCUACUUCUCUUAGUAGCAGUCUCUCCCGGAACAGGGCUCUGUGCUGCCUUUGUUUCAUCUGAUCUCCUAGCUGAAUAAGAGAUGGUCAUUUAUCCUCAGUGCUCCCGGUUCCUGCUGGAUUUCUAUUUCUGAGAGAGAAACUGACCAGGAGAAGGAAAAAGGUGGAAGCUGAUUUUGGACAGUGUUGUUCAGUGUGUGUUUACAGGCAGGACUGACUUACUCAGCAAAUCCUGCUCUGAUGAGCUCCAGCCAAUGAAGUGCUUAUAUCCCGGCUUGCUUGGGGGCUUCUGAGUUUGAGCUGCAUGCAGAAAUGUAAGCAGCUCUUCCUGGUGCUGAUGGCAAAAUGGGGUCCACGGCCAGUUCUUCCUCAGGCUUCCUGGCUUUGCAGAUCUGGGAGAGAUCCUACAUAAACCUAUCGGUGAUGUAGCCUGCCUGGAAAGCCAAAAGAAUCCUCAUGGAUUCAGGAAACUGGUUUUUGAUUUAGAAUUAUUUUUUUUUUCUGGAAGAUGAAAUGCUUUUCUCGUUACCUGCCUUACAUCUUCCGACCUCCGAACACCAUCCUCUCUUCCAGCUGCCACACAGAAGGAGGUCUUCAAAAUGUUGACUGGCAUUUCCCUCAAUUAAUCGUGGUGGUUACCUUCCCACUGGAGAAGGAAAUGUCAAACUACUCCAGUGUCUUUGCCAAGAAAACCCCAAAUGGAGUCAUGAGGAGUCAGAUACAACUGAAACAACUGAACAAAAUCUUCCCACUCUUCAUGAUUUCAUAGAGAGGUGUGUAUAUGUGUGUAUAUAUUUGUCCAUAUGUACAUGUGUAUGGUGGGGG